rnacentral:rRNA from 1 species
AUGAACGCUAGCGGCAGGCCUAACACAUGCAAGUCGAGGGGCAGCACAGGUAGCAAUACGUGGGUGGCGGACCGGCGGAUGGGUGCGUAACGCGUAUGCAACCUACCAUUGAUUGGGGCAUAGCCCGAAGAAAUUCGGAUUAAUACUCCAUAAUAUUCAUCAAAGGCAUCUUUUAUGAAUUAAAGCUUUUGCGAUCAAUGAUGGGCAUGCGUGACAUUAGUUAGUUGGUGAGGUAACGGCUCACCAAAACGAUGAUGUCUAGGGGUUCUGAGAGGAUUAUCCCCCACACUGGUACUGAGACACGGACCAGACUCCUACGGGAGGCAGCAGUGAGGAAUAUUGGUCAAUGGACGCAAGUCUGAACCAGCCAUGCCGCGUGCAGGAUGACGGCCCUAUGGGUUGUAAACUGCUUUUCCACGGGAAGAACCCUCCGACGUGUCGGAGACUGACGGUACCGUGGGAAUAAGCAUCGGCUAACUCCGUG